rnacentral:rRNA from 2 species
GUAGGGAAUCUUCGGCAAUGGGCGAAAGCCUGACCGAGCAACGCCGCGUGAAUGAAGAAGGCCUUCGGGUUGUAAAAUUCUGUUAUAAGGGAAGAAAGGUGAUAGGAGGAAAUGACUAUCAAUUGACGGUACCUUAUGAGAAAGCCACGGCUAACUACGUGCCAGCAGCCGCGGUAAUACGUAGGUGGCAAGCGUUAUCCGGAAUUAUUGGGCGUAAAGAGCGCGCAGGUGGUUAAUUAAGUCUGAUGUGAAAGCCCACGGCUUAACCGUGGAGGGUCAUUGGAAACUGGUUGACUUGAGUGCAGAAGAGGGAAGUGGAAUUCCAUGUGUAGCGGUGAAAUGCGUAGAGAUAUGGAGGAACACCAGUGGCGAAGGCGGCUUCCUGGUCUGCAACUGACACUGAGGCGCGAAAGCGUGGGGAGCAAACAGG